CCAGGAGCCACCACAGCCCUGUCUGUGACUCUCAGCUCCCGAGGCUGGGCUCUUCCCCAGGGAAGCUGCAUGACCAUGGCCACGUACAGGAGGAGACCCUAAAACUCCAUUGGCCUCAUGUCCAGAACUGAAUCAGGUUCAGCUCGUGGAAGACAUUCAGGAUCCGGUCUCGAGACUUCUGGGCCGACCGUCUCAUGAGGACCCUGCUGAGGAACUUCCUGUCGAAGUGGGACCACCUGUAGGGACAGACCUCAGGUGUGAGCCUCAGGUGACAGGCGCCCUAGAGCCCGCCGGACGCGUGGCCCGGCCCCUUCUCUCCUGAAUUUUGUUUGCUAUAGUGACCCUGUAGGCGCAUUUAAAAUGAGGGAAGCAGCCCCUGCCACACGCCCAGGCCGUCCGCCGUUCUCCUGCCUGGCCUGUUGGAUGGAGGCGGUUAGACGCACAUGAAACUGCAUGCCACCUCCUCCAGAGGGUGGCUCAGGACACGCCUAACGGAAUUAGAGUAUUCGCUGGUUAUCCGGAUCAGAAGGGACGGUGGCCUGGCCGGACUUAGAGGAAACUCUGGGGCACAAGGAGGUGAUGCCUGUCACUCUUGGACAUGGGUGCAGCCGCCAGAGCCGCCCUCCAGGGCACAGGGUGGGCCCGGGUGAGCUUGUGUGCUCACACCUGGGCAGGCCCCGCGGCAGCAAUGGCAGCUCUCCUGUACAGGCUGAGUUUCAGCCACACCAAGAAGUCAAAGCUAACUGAGGCCGUGCCUUCCGAGACCCCCGGGAUGGCCCCUGGGAGGCCAAGG
rnacentral:antisense_RNA from 1 species